rnacentral:rRNA from 1 species
GACGAACGCUGGCGGCGUGCUUAACACAUGCAAGUCGAACGAAGAGCGACGGAAGCUUGCUUCUAUCAAUCUUAGUGGCGAACGGGUGAGUAACGCGUAAUCAACCUGCCCUUCAGAGGGGGACAACAGUUGGAAACGACUGCUAAUACCGCAUACGAUCUAACCUCGGCAUCGAGGAUAGAUGAAAGGUGGCCUCUACAUGUAAGCUAUCACUGAAGGAGGGGAUUGCGUCUGAUUAGCUAGUUGGAGGGGUAACGGCCCACCAAGGCGAUGAUCAGUAGCCGGUCUGAGAGGAUGAACGGCCACAUUUGGACUGAGACACGGCCCAGACUCCUACGGGAGGCAGCAGUGGGGAAUCUUCCGCAAUGGACGAAAGUCUGACGGAGCAACGCCGCGUGAGUGAGGACGGCCUUCGGGUUGUAAAGCUCUGUUAAUCGGGACGAAAGGCCUUCUUGCGAAUAGUGAGAUGGAUUGACGGUACCGGAAUAGAAAGCCACGGCUAACUACGUG